AGAGUUUGAUUAUGGCUCAGGAUGAACGCUAGCUACAGGCUUAACACAUGCAAGUCGAGGGGCAUCAGGAAGAAAGCUUGCUUUCUUUGCUGGCGACCGGCGCACGGGUGAGUAACACGUAUCCAACCUGCCCUUUACUCGGGGAUAGCCUUUCGAAAGAAAGAUUAAUACCCGAUGGGAUAAUCAUUCCGCAUGGUUUGAUUAUUAAAGGAUUCCGGUAAAGGAUGGGGAUGCGUUCCAUUAGGUUGUUGGUGAGGUAACGGCCCACCAAGCCUUCGAUGGAUAGGGGUUCUGAGAGGAAGGUCCCCCACAUUGGAACUGAGACACGGUCCAA
rnacentral:rRNA from 1 species